rnacentral:rRNA from 1 species
AGGGUUUGAUCCUGGCUCAGAACGAACGUUGGCGGCGUGGAUUAGGCAUGCAAGUCGAACGAAGCACAUCGGGUAGUAAUACCUGGUGUGACUGAGUGGCGUAAGGGGCAGUAAUGCGUGGGUAACGUACCCCCGGGUUCCGGAUAGCCUAUCGAAAGGUAGGGUAAUACGGAGCGAUGUGGCGAGAGGACAUCCUUUUGCCAUCAAAGAUUUAUCGCCCGGGGAGCGGCUCACGUGCUAUUAGCUUGUUGGCGGGGUAACGGCCCACCAAGGCUAAGAUGGCUAGCGGGUGUGAGAGCACGACCCGCGCCACUGGCACUGAGACACUGGCCAGACACCUACGGGUGGCUGCAGUCGAGGAUCUUCGGCAAUGGGUGCAAGCCUGACCGAGCGACGCCGCGUGUGGGAUUGAAGGCCUUCGGGUUGUAAACCACUGUCGAGGGGGAGGAAGCCGCAAGGUUGACCUAUCCCUGGAGGAAGCACGGGCUAAGUUCGUGCCAGCAGCCGCGGUAAGACGAACCGUGCAAACGUUGUUCGGAAUCACUGGGCUUAAAGGGCGCGUAGGCGGUUCGCCAAGUCUGGGGUGAAAUCUUUCGGCUUAACCGGAAAAUUGCCUGGGAUACUGGCGGGCUUGAGGGAGGUAGGGGUAGCGGGAACUUCCGGUGGAGCGGUGAAAUGCGUUGAUAUCGGAAGGAACGCCGGUGGCGAAAGCGCGUUACUGGACCUCUUCUGACGCUGAGGCGCGAAAGCUAGGGGAGCAAACGGGAUUAGAUACCCCGGUAGUCCUAGCCUUAAACGAUGAGAACUAGGUUGUGGACUUGACAUGGGUUCACAGCCGAAGCAAAAGUGCUAAGUUCUCCGCCUGGGGAGUAUGGUCGCAAGGCUGAAACUCAAAGGAAUUGACGGGGGCUCACACAAGCGGUGGAGCAUGUGGCUUAAUUCGAGACUACGCGAAGAACCUUAUCCUGGGCUUGACAUGUGCGAAAGCGGUAGGAAGUAGGGGACGGAAACGCACCCCGAACGGUAUCCAAUCCGGAACCUACUACAGGUGCUGCAUGGCCGUCGUCAGCUCGUGUCGUGAGAUGUCGGGUUAAGUCCCAUAACGAGCGAAACCCUUGCUUCUAGUUGCCAGCGGGUCAUGCCGGGGACUCUAGAAGGACUGCCGGUGUUAAACCGGAGGAAGGCGGGGAUGACGUCAAGUCCUCAUGGCCUUUAUGCCCAGGGCUACACACGUGCUACAAUGCAACGAACAAAGGGACGCAAACGCGCAAGCGGGAGCAAAUCUCAAAAAACGUUGCUCAGUUCAGAUUGCAGGCUGCAACUCGCCUGCAUGAAGCUGGAAUCGCUAGUAAUCGCGGAUCAGCAACGCCGCGGUGAAUGUGUUCCUGAGCCUUGUACACACCGCCCGUCAAGCCACGAAAGGGAGGGGCGCCCGAAGUCACCACACUAAGCUGGUGCCGAAGGCGAAACUCCUGAUUGGGACUAAGUCGUAACAAGGUA